CAGCCGCCGCGGUAAUACGGAGGGAGCUAGCGUUGUUCGGAAUGACUGGGCGUAAAGGGCGCGUAGGCGGUUUGUACAGUUGGAUGUGAAAUUCCUGGGCUUAACCUGGGGGCUGCAUUCAAUACGUGCAGGCUUGAGUGUGGAAGAGGGUUGUGGAAUUCCCAGUGUAGAGGUGAAAUUCGUAGAUAUUGGGAAGAACACCGGUGGCGAAGGCGGCAACCUGGUCCAUUACUGACGCUGAGGCGCGAAAGCGUGGGGAGCAAACAGGAUUAGAUACCCCUGUAGUCCCUGUCUCUUAUAC
rnacentral:rRNA from 1 species